UCCUCCGUGGCGCAAUUGGCUAGCGCGUCCGACUGUUAAUACGCAAUCAUGUAUUGGGAAUCGGGAGGUUCGUGGUUCGAGCCCACGCGGGGGAG